GUCUAACACAUGCAAGUCGAACGUAGAAGCUUGGUGCUUGCACUGGGUGGAUGAGUGGCGAACGGGUGAGUAAGGCGUGAGUAACCUGCCCUUGACUCUGGGAUAAGCCUGGGAAACUGGGUCUAAUACUGGAUAUGACCUCCUGUCGCAUGGUGGGGGGUGGAAAGGGUUUGUACUGGUUGUGGAUGGGCUCACGGCCUAUCAGCUUGUUGGUGGGGUAAUGGCCUACCAAGGCGACGACGGGUAGCCGGCCUGAGAGGGUGACCGGCCACACUGGGACUGAGACACGGCCCAGACUCCUACGGGAGGCAGCA
rnacentral:rRNA from 1 species